UGCAAAUUGUACGUAUCGGAGGGAAGAACACCAAGGACUGUGUCCACAAAGUCCUUGACCGGCUCUUCAGUAAUGCCCUGAUGGUGAGGUUUAAUAUGAAGGGGAAGGGAGAAAAGGGCAAGAAACCUUUGGAGAACACAAAGGUUUAUAGAGCAAUACAAGAUGGAGUCAUGAAAUUUGACCCGGCAGCCACAGAGGGCUUUAUAAGGAUGUGUGCUUCAGAGCAUUUAAAGCAUGCACCACAAAGAUGUGG